rnacentral:rRNA from 1 species
UACGUAGGCAGCGAGCGUUGUUCGGAGUUACUGGGCGUAAAGAGUGCGUAGGCGGUUUUCUAAGUUUGGUGUGAAAUCUCCCGGCUUAACUGGGAGGGUGCGCCGAAGACUGGAAGGCUUGAGUAUGGGAGAGGUAAGCGGAAUCCCUGGUGUAGCGGUGAAAUGCGUAGAUAUCAGGAGGAACACCGAUGGCGAAGGCAGGUCUCUGGGCCGAUACUGACGCUGAGGAGCGAAAGCGUGGGGAGCGAACAGG